CAUUUUGUGUCUCCACGUCAUUCCACUCCAUUCACAAUCUCUAAACAUCGGAAUCUCCGUUUCUUUUGUGCGCUUCAACUUUUCACAACGCAGAUCCAGCUCCAACGAAUAGCAACAGAGAGCCGUGAAGCAGAAGAAUAAGAUCGCAUAGACUUCCUCAUAGCAUGUCUCCGCCAAAAAGAAAUCAUCAAAGUCGUUUGAGAAAGAUUUGUUGGAGAUGCAGACGACGUUGGAGAAGAAUAAUACGGAGGAGUUGAUUAAGGAGAAGGACAUGAGUUCUUAGGAAGGAGGAGGAUGAGCUUGAGACGAGAUACACUGAGCUGGAGAAGCUCAAGACGGAGUUAAAGAAGCUUCAGUAGAUGAAGGAGUUCAAACCAACAUGAUUUUUCCCGAGAUUAUGUGGUGUAAAGAACAAUGGAAUGAAGUCAAGACGCAAAACCCUAAGUCUUAGUGCGGAAGAUAGGAAACCUUACGAGGAGAAGUAACAUCUUGAGAAGGAAGUUUACCUCCAGGUCAUUGCUAAGGAAAAACAUGAGAGAGAGGCCAUGGAGCUUCUAAACGAUGAGCAUAAGCUGAAAAUUGCAAUUGAUUUACUUGAUUCUCCAGCUUGUGUAGGAAGCUGAACAAGACAAUAAGAAGAAGAGCAAGAAGCAUAAGGAUCCUCUCAAGCCAAAGCAUCCUAUAUCUGCCUUCAUGUUUUAUGCUAACGAGAGGAGAGCUGCUUUCCGUGAAGAGAACAAGAAUGUCCUGGAGGUCGCAAAGAUGGAGAAGACUGGAAGAAGUUGCCAGAAGAACAUAAAACACCAUAUGAAGAGGUGGUAAAGAAGAACAAGAAGCCAUACUUGGAAGCAAUGGAGGAAUACAAAAGAACGAAGGGGCCAUGAAUCAAAAAAAAGAAGAAAAGAAGAAGAAGAGGAGCCAUGAAACUCCAUAAACAUAACAGGAUCAUAAUCAUGUCUCUUGCAGAAAAAGAAAGAGACCAAGAAUGAGAGGAACAAGAACGUUGACCCUAACAAACCCAAGAAGCCUACUUCAUAAUUCUUUCUUUUCAGGUAUGAACCUAAAUCUAAUGUGACUCGAGUGUAUCAUAAGCUUUUAGAUAGAAGUUUAUAAUUGAUUAAAAAAUUGUUUCCACAACAAAGAUGCAAGGAAAUCUUUUAUGGAAAAGAAUUUAUGUAGGAAGAGCAGCUCGACAAUCACUGCUCUAAUCUCAGUGAUCUCUUUAAAAUUAAAACCCACAUCCAUGUCAUUUUUUAAAACAGUUGUUGAUUUUCAAAGAGACAUGAUACAUAGCCAUGUACUUUUUAUCUUAUUUUAUAUGUUGCAUUGGAUCUUGGACACACAAAAAUAAAUCUUCAAAUGUUAAUAACUUUAAAUUUAAACAAAUAUCAAUUAUCAACUUGAAAAUAUUUCAAUAAAAAUAACGGAAACAAGAGGAAGCUCAUUAAAGUUGCAGGAUAACAAUCUAUUCAAUCAUAAAGGGAACAACCCAUCUGUUAAGUCAUAAGUACAUGAAUCAUUGACUUUGUUCAAAAUUAUUAUGUGAAUCCUCUUUUUUUCAUAGUAUACAUUCCUGACCAGUACCAUAUAUGGUUAUAACUUCACUACAUUUUCAAAGUAACAUAUAUUUACAAUACAUUCUUGCAAAUAAUUAAGUUUUAACACAAGAAUAAAUGAGACCAAACUUUCCACUACCAAAAAAAAACACAAACUAUCCACUACAAACAAAAUUUCUCAAUUUCUCAGAAAUAUCGUUAAACUAAAAACAUACAAAAGAUGAUCAAAAAUAAAAAAAUAAAAUUGAAAUUUCACUCAAUGUUGAAAUUUAGCACCAAUCGUCUUUUGAUAUCUCAUUUUAAUCAAAUUUUCUUUUAAUAUCAAAAUUUGAAAAUAUAUCUAUGAAAUAUAAUAUUUAUGAAAAUUUUAUACAAAAAUCUCCCGCGGCGUAGC